rnacentral:rRNA from 1 species
AGUGAACGCUGGCGGUAGGCCUAACACAUGCAAGUCGAACGGCAGCACAGUAAGAGCUUGCUCUUACGGGUGGCGAGUGGCGGACGGGUGAGGAAUACAUCGGAAUCUACUUUUUCGUGGGGGAUAACGUAGGGAAACUUACGCUAAUACCGCAUACGACCUACGGGUGAAAGCAGGGGAUCUUCGGACCUUUCGCGAUUGAAUGAGCCGAUGUCGGAUUAGCUAGUUGGCGUGGCAAAGGCCCACCAAGGCGACGAUCCGUAGCUGGUCUGAGAGGAUGAUCAGCCACACUGGAACUGAGACACGGUCCAGACUACUACGGGAGGCAGCAGUGGGGAAUAUGGGACAAUGGGCGCAAGCCUGAUCCAGCCAUACCGCGUGGGUGAAGAAGGCCUUCGGGUUGUAAAGCCCUUUUGUUGGGAAAGAAAAGCAGCAGGUUAAUACCCCGCUGUUCUGACGGUACCCAAAGAAUAAGCACCGGCUAACUUCGUG